rnacentral:rRNA from 1 species
GACGAACGCUGGCGGCGUGCCUAAUACAUGCCAGUAGAACGCUGAAGGAGGAGCUUGCUUCUCUGGAUGAGUUGCGAACGGGUGAGUAACGCGUAGGUAACCUGCCUGGUAGCGGGGGAUAACUAUUGGAAACGAUAGCUAAUACCGCAUAAUAUUGACUAUUGCAUGAUAGUCAGUUGAAAGGUGCAACUGCACCACUACCAGAUGGACCUGCGUUGUAUUAGCUAGUUGGUGGGGUAACGGCUCACCAAGGCGACGAUACAUAGCCGACCUGAGAGGGUGAUCGGCCACACUGGGACUGAGACACGGCCCAGACGCCUACGGGAGGCAGCAGUAGGGAAUCGUCGGCAAUGGACGGAAGUCUGACCGAGCAACGCCGCGGGAGUGAAGAAGGUUUUCGGAUCGUAAAGCUCUGUUGUAAGAGAAGAACGAGUGUGAGAGUGGAAAGCUCACACUGUGACGGUAUCUUAACAGAAAGGGACGGCUAACUACGUG